rnacentral:rRNA from 1 species
GAUGAACGCUGGCGGCGUGCCUAACACAUGCAAGUCGAACGGACAUUUUUUGGAAAGCUCUUCGGAACUGGAAUCUAAAUGUUAGUGGCGGACGGGUGAGUAACGCGUGAGCAAUCUGCCUUUCAGAGGGGGACAACAGUUGGAAGCGACUGCUAAUACCGCAUAAGCCCACGACCCGGCAUCGGGUUGAGGGAAAAGGAGCAAUCCGCUUUGAGAUGGCCUCGCGUCCGAUUAGCUAGUUGGUGAGGUAACGGCCCACCAAGGCGACGAUACAUAGCCGGCCUGAGAGGGUGAUCGGCCACACUGGGACUGAGACACGGUCCAA